rnacentral:rRNA from 1 species
UACAGAGGUCUCAAGCGUUGUUCGGAAUCACUGGGCGUAAAGGGUGCGUAGGCGGCGGAGUAAGUCGGGUGUGAAAUUUGAAGGCUCAACCUUCAACUAGCACCUGAUACUGCUUUGCUUGAGGUCUGAAGAGGAGCUUGGAAUUCUCGGUGUAGCAGUGAAAUGCGUAGAUUUCGAGAAGAACGCUCGCAGCGAAAAGCGAAGCUCUGGUCAGAUUCUGACGCUGAGGCACGAAGGCUAGGGGAGCAAACGGG